UACGAAGGGUGCAAACGUUUGCUCGGAAUUAUUGGGCGUAAAGCGCGCGUAGGCGGUUACUCAAGUCGGAUGUGAAAGCCCUCGGCUUAACUGAGGAAGUGCACCCGAAACUGAGUAGCUAGAGUACUAAAGAGGGUCGCGGAAUUCCCGGUGUAGAGGUGAAAUUCGUAGAUAUCGGGAGGAACACCGGUGGCGAAGGCGGCGACCUGGGUAGAUACUGACGCUGAGGCGCGAAAGCGUGGGGAGCAAACAGG
rnacentral:rRNA from 1 species